rnacentral:rRNA from 1 species
AUACGUAGGGGGCAAGCGUUGUCCGGAAUUAUUGGGCGUAAAGCGCGCGCAGGCGGUCUCUUAAGUCUGAUGUGAAAUCUCGCGGCUCAACCGCGAGCGGUCAUUGGAAACUGGGGGACUUGAGUGUAGGAGAGGAAAGUGGAAUUCCACGUGUAGCGGUGAAAUGCGUAGAGAUGUGGAGGAACACCAGUGGCGAAGGCGACUUUCUGGCCUAUAACUGACGCUGAGGCGCGAAAGCGUUGGGAGCAAACAGGAUUAGAUACCCUGGUAGUCCACGCCGUAAACGAUGAGUGCUAGGUGUUAGGGGUUUCGAUACCCUUAGUGCCGGCGUUAACACAUUAAGCACUCCGCCUGGGGAGUACGGCCGCAAGGCUGAA